rnacentral:rRNA from 1 species
GAUGAACGCUGGCGGCGUGCCUAAUACAUGCAAGUCGAGCGAACAGACGAGGAGCUUGCUCCUCUGACGUUAGCGGCGGACGGGUGAGUAACACGUGGAUAACCUACCUAUAAGACUGGGAUAACUUCGGGAAACCGGAGCUAAUACCGGAUAAUAUAUUGAACCGCAUGGUUCAAUAGUGAAAGACGGUUUUGCUGUCACUUAUAGAUGGAUCCGCGCCGCAUUAGCUAGUUGGUAAGGUAACGGCUUACCAAGGCAACGAUGCGUAGCCGACCUGAGAGGGUGAUCGGCCACACUGGAACUGAGACACGGUCCAGACUCCUACGGGAGGCAGCAGUAGGGAAUCUUCCGCAAUGGGCGAAAGCCUGACGGAGCAACGCCGCGUGAGUGAUGAAGGUCUUCGGAUCGUAAAACUCUGUUAUUAGGGAGGAACAAAUGUGUAAGUAACUAUGCACGUCUUGACGGUACCCAAUCAGAAAGCCACGGCUAACUACGUG